rnacentral:rRNA from 1 species
AUUGAACGCCGGCGGCAUGCCUUACACAUGCAAGUCGAACGGCAGCACGGGUGCUUGCACCUGGUGGCGAGUGGCGAACGGGUGAGUAAUAUAUCGGAACGUACCUUAUUGUGGGGGAUAACGCAGCGAAAGCUGUGCUAAUACCGCAUAAUCCCUAAGGGGGAAAGCGGGGGACCGUAAGGCCUCGCGCAAUUAGAGCGGCCGAUACCUGAUUAGCUAGUUGGUGAGGUAAAGGCUCACCAAGGCAACGAUCAGUAGCUGGUCUGAGAGGACGAUCAGCCACACUGGGACUGAGACACGGCCCAGACUCCUACGGGAGGCAGCAGUGGGGAAUUUUGGACAAUGGGGGCAACCCUGAUCCAGCAAUGCCGCGUGAGUGAAGAAGGCCUUCGGGUUGUAAAGCUCUUUUGUCAGGGAAGAAACAGCAGCUCUAACACAGUAUGCUAAUGACGGUACCUGAAGAAUAAGCACCGGCUAACUACGUGCCAGCCGCCGCCGUAA